CCUACGGGAGGCAGCAGUGGGGAAUAUUGGACAAUGGGGGGAACCCUGAUCCAGCGACGCCGCGUGAGUGAAGAAGUAUUUCGGUAUGUAAAGCUCUAUCAGCAGGGAAGAAAGAAAUGACGGUACCUUACUAAGAAGCCCCGGCUAACUACGUGCCAGCAGCCGCGGUAAUACGUAGGGGGCAAGCGUUAUCCGGAUUUACUGGGUGUAAAGGGAGCGUAGACGGCGAUGCAAGUCUGAAGUGAAAGGCGGGGGCCCAACCCCCGGACUGCUUUGGAAACUGUAUGGCUGGAGUGCAGGAGAGGUAAGUGGAAUUCCUAGUGUAGCGGUGAAAUGCGUAGAUAUUAGGAGGAACACCGGUGGCGAAGGCGGCCUGCUGGACUGCAACUGACGUUGAGGCCCGAAAGCGUGGGGAGCAAACAGGAUUAGAUACCCCAGUAGUC
rnacentral:rRNA from 1 species